UAGUGAAAUGAUAGCAAUCAUCUUUCGGGACUGACCUGAGAAUAAAAAAUAAAAGUGAUAAAAUACACAUGACAUAAAAUUUAUCAUUU